GAUGGCAUCAUGAGUCCACAUGUUCACAUGAUUAAAGGUAUUCCGGUAGACGAUGGGGAUGCGUUCCAUUAGAUAGUAGGCGGGGUAACGGCCCACCUAGUCUUCGAUGGAUAGGGGUUCUGAGAGGAAGGUCCCCCACAUUGGAACUGAGACACGGUCCAAACUCCUACGGGAGGCAGCAGUGAGGAAUAUUGGUCAAUGGACGAGAGUCUGAACCAGCCAAGUAGCGUGAAGGAUGAAGGUCCUACGGAUUGUAAACUUCUUUUAUAAGGGAAUAAAACCUCCCACGUGUGGUAGCUUGUAUGUACCUUAUGAAUAAGCAUCGGCUAACUCCGUGUCAGCACCCGCGGUAAUACGGAGGAUGCGAGCGUUAUCCGGAUUUAUUGGGUUUAAAGGGAGCGCAGACGGGUCGUUAAGUCAGCUGUGAAAGUUUGGGGCUCAACCUUAAAAUUGCAGUUGAUACUGGCGUCCUUGAGUGCGGCUGAGG
rnacentral:rRNA from 1 species